rnacentral:rRNA from 1 species
AGCAUAUCAGUAAGCGGAGGAAAAGAAACUAACAAGGAUAUCCUUAGUAAAGGCGAUUGAACAGGAUAAAGCUCAUAACCGAAUCCUACAGCUUUAUGCUGUUAGGAAAUGUGGUGUUUGGGUCUCACUAUGGUUUGAUAAUUUUGCUCUAAGUUCACAUGAUUGUGGCUCAUAGCCCAAGGAGGGUGUAAGGCCCGUAAGAGCGAGAUAGUUGAAUCUAUGUGGUGACCCAAGAGUCGGGUUGUUCGGGAUUGCAGCCCAAAGUGGUGGUAAACUCCAUCAAAAGCUAAAUACCUUGUGAGUCCGAUAGUGAACAAGUACCAUGAGGUAAAGUUGAAAAGAACUUUGAAGAGAGAGUUCAAUAGUGCGUGAAACCUAUCAGAGGUAAGCGGGUAGAGCUGAAAGUAGUAUGGAGAUUGAUGUUUUCUAGUGUACGAUUAGGGCUGUGCAGAUCAUUAAACGACUGUUGGCUUUAAUUGUAAGCGCUGGUUGGCUGUUUUUCCCAUGCUUGAACCACGAUUGAGAGCGGCUUUGAUUACUAUCAUAAGAAAGGUAGCUAGUGUGGGAUUUAUUUCACGUUAGUGUUAUAGUCUGUGGUGUGAUACUUAUGCUGCUCUCAUGGGUAAAAGRUGUGUUAUGCAAAGGUCGUUAUGAUAAGGUUACGUUUUUGGGACUCUUUGAGUUUCUUAAGUUUGACUUUUUUAUUGAUGGCCUCCCUGUGUGACAUGUCAUAAUCAGUGGUUAUUAGUAGGUGUUCUACCCGGCCCGUCUUGAAACACGGACCAAGGAGUCUAACAUAUACGCGAGUCAUUGGGUUCUACGAAACCUAAAGGCGCAUUGAAAGAGAAUGUAGGUGUUUGGCCUACUGAGCUAUGAUGCUUAUUCCUACGGGAGUGGGUCGCAAUAGCGAUUUGUCUCAUGCUUUUUAAGCGAGGCAAAAUAAGAGCGUAUAUGAUGGUACCCGAAAGAUGGUGAACUAUGCUUGCAUAGGUUGAAGCCAGAGGAAACUCUGGUGGAGGACCGCAGCGCUUCUGACGUGCAAAUCGAUCGUCAAAUGUGAGUAUAGGGGCGAAAGACUAAUCGAACCAUCUAGUAGCUGGUUCCCUGCGAAGUUUCCCUCAGGAUAGCUGGCACUUGUUAUACACAGUUUUAUCCGGUAAAGCGAAUGAUUAGAAGUAUUGGGGACGAAAUGUCCUCAACUUAUUCUCAAACUUUAAAUGGGUAAGAUGCUAAAGUCACUUAGUUGGACUAUGGCAUUGAAUGUGAGUGCCUAGUGGGCCAUUUUUGGUAAGCAGAACUGGCGAUGUGGGAUGAACCAAAAGCGGUGGUUAAGGUGCCUAAAUGUACGCUCAUGACAUACCACAAAAGGUGUUGGUUGAUACAGACAGCAGGACGGUGGCCAUGGAAGUUGGAAUCCGCUAAGGAGUGUGUAACAACUCACCUGCCGAAUCAACCAGCCCUGAAAAUGGAUGGCGGUGGAGCGUUCUACCUAUACCGCGCCGUCACUAAGAUUAAUUUGAAAUAAAUUAGUGACGUGUAGCAGGGCGAAGCGGUAAGCUUAGAAGGUUAGACUGUAAAGUCGACUGGAGCUGCCGUUUGUGCAGAUCUUGGUGGUAGUAGCAAGUAUUCAAGUGAGAAACUUGAAGGCCGAUUGUG